GGAAUUUGAAUUGUGCUGUCCUCACAGAGCAGAAACAAGUCCCUCCAAAUCCUUUGUGCUUCCCCCACACUAUUUGCUUUUCUUCUCACGCAGCCAUUAACUGGUUCACAGUGGGUCCCAGGGAAAUUAUGUAGAGCAGUGAUCACCAACCUAAACUGAAGCCCAGAAGCAUCCCUCUCACCUGUUACUUGAUAGAGGCGAGCUAUAGAAAUCUCUAUCCGAAAGGCAGCCUGCGCACGGCCUCUUAUCACAGAGGCUCCUGUCUGCCCUGAGUACAGAAUUUGGACAAUCAGAAAGCUCAUCUCAGGUGACUCGGAGUCCAUCGUUUUAGAAAUUCAUUGAAAGAGGCAGAAGGAAAAAAAUACUGAGCCUUAAAAAAUGCAUUCAACUCUGUGGGGAUUUUCCUUUUAUGAUUAACUUAAUUUCCCUGGGAGAUGUUUUCCUUUGAAGUUGUGGAUGAAUUAGACUUUUCCUUCUCAGAAUGUUAACACGUAUCAUUUCUGAUGCGCUGUCUACUUUUUGUACUUAAAUGCAGUUAAUAUUGAAUAAAUAGUCUGUUUGUCCUUAUUAUUGUUUUUGUUAAUACAACUGUGACCCUUAUAGUACUUUCCGUCUGGAGCAUCAGGAUACAGGCAAUUUCUGGGACAAUGCUUUUUCUAACACAUUCUCACAGCCUUGUUUAAGAAUCAUGUGACAUUUGUUGAUUUGAAGUCUGGUCAGGUGACUGUCAAAGCAAAACAGAGAAAGUGAUGUGACAGAGUAGUAAAUUGUGACUUAAGCCCAAACAAUGACCAUUGUGUGUAUGAAUGUUUGCGAAUGCAUGCAUGUGUAUGUGUGUGCACACAUGUAUGUGUACAUCUGUGUGUUUGUGCAUGAUGCUUGUGUAUGUCUGUACAUGUAUAUGUGUGUGUACACACAGGUAUGUGUGCAUACGUGCAUGAUGUAUAUAUGUGUGUAUAUAUAUAUAUAUAUCUUUGCAUGCAUGUGUCUGUGUGUGUGACACUUGUACAAAUGCUCUUUGCCUGCUGUCUCAUGUAGUAGAUGGAAGUCUGACUGUCUCUCUUUGUGUUUAAGGUGAGGGUGGGAUUUGGGUCUGUGACAGACACAAUUAGUUGACCUUCUUUUCAAUCGCCAUUCUUGUCUUGUGCAAGCACAUUUAUGUGCAUGCAGUAGACUUAUUUAUGCUAAACUGCAGGGACAAAGUUAUGGUUAGGUCUUCAUCUCACUCUUGUGACAUAGUCUCCUUCUGCAGGAGCUCUCCAGAGUUGGUUCUGCUCAACACUAUGUUUGGAGGAAUCUACAGUGAGUGGGCUUCUGGGAAAAAGACAUUUUUGGGCCAUUGGUGCUGCAUGAAGUUACACUGGCAAUAGUGAAAAGCUGAGAGAAGAGAUGUGCUGAGGGGACACAACACUGUGACUGACUGAUGGUGCUGAGGGGACACCAUCCCCUGGGAUGGAGCAGAAACUUUGCAAGCAUUGGAGUUCUGAAUUUCCUGGUGGAGUAAGAUAGGAAGUAAUGGCUAACAAGGCCAUCGAUUUGCCCCAUCAAUUUCUCAAUCAUUGGCAAGUAAAGGAGUUGAGGCAGAUGUAGCAUUUUCUCCUCCUUGAAAUUAUGUUUGACUCUGUGAAAUGCUCAGUAAUUGUUUAGAUCUCAUAUGGCUACAGUGUUGACUUAUGAUUUAAUAGAAGCCAUACAUCAACAGUCUAAAUCCUAACAGAUAUAUCUGCCAUGUUUUCUUGUAUUAGCAAGAAGGGACAAUUUAAGGCAUGUGGUCAUUUUCCCUUUAAAAUGUAUUUCUGAAGGGACCGUGGAUUAUAACUGAGAGUCAGAACUCCGGGAGCAGCAGCAGUGCCUGUCAUAAAUGCUGUGCUGUCCAUGUAAUAAAAUGAUUUUCCCUGGUGGGACACACAUGGCACUAAGGAGGAAUGAGCCUGGCCUGAUAGAAUGGCUUUUAUUAAUCUCCUAAUGUUUUUAUUUUGUUUUAGAAUUAUGAGUGGCUUCAAGAGAGUAGCAAGCCAUUUGCCAUCAGGGCUAAGUGUUACUGCUAUCCAGAUAUCUUUGCUUAAUGCCUGCUGUUUAUUUCAAACACAAAAUGCUCCAUUAAGAAAAAAAUCAGCUAUAAUGGGCUGACUUUAUUAUCAAGAAAUUACACCUGUUAUGGGAACCUCACUAAUUAUAAGCACUUGGAUUUGUUUGGGUGAUAAAAGUCGAUGAAGAAGGUCAUUUGUCAGGAGGAGCACUCGGCAUGUGCGCCAGCAUCGUAAAACUGAAAUAAAGUCUGAGAAGAAAUGCUCAGAGGACUGGGAUUUGUCUGGGAAUAGACUAGACCAGGAGCCGAUGGAAUAAGGGCUUCGCUGUGGACGAGUCUCCCCUCGGCCAUUCCUGGCAGCCAAGCCGACCUUGUAUUUUCUUCUCACCUCUCUGGCUGUGUCCACGUGUAAACUGGCUGCAGAUUCUAAGACUUUGGACUAGUGGUUCUCAACCUUCCUGACACUGCUGCCCUGGAAUACAGUUUCUCAUGCUGUGGUAACCCCCCAACCAUAAAACUAUUUCAUUGGUGCUUCAUACCUGUAAUUCUGCUACUGAUGUGAAUUAUAAUGCAAAUUCUGACAUACUGGAUAUCCGAUUCAGUUGAUAACCUGCCGAGAAAGAGAAAAUCGGUUUUCUCCGAUGGAGUGUCACUGGGUCUGUCAAUUAUGCUCCAAGUUAGGACUCGUGCUCAGGAGUAGUUGGUCAACUCAAAAUGAACUGACUUCCCCCAACCCCCCUUCUUUUGAUCAAGGUCUUACUUUGUCAUUCAGGCCAGUCUGGGACUUGUAAUCCUCUCUCAGCUUCCCAAGUGCCAGGGUUAUGAGCAUUUAUCAUCUUGGGUGAUGAGUCAUCAUCUGGACCCAUCUCCCUUAACCUAGAUGUUAUAAUGUUACCCUUGACUCCUCCCUCCCUCCCCUCCUGUAUUCUCUUGUUCUCAAUCAGAAGUUUCCCUCUCACUUUCUCCUCUAUGUUUACUCCCAUUGAUGUAGUCUGGGCUGCCACCAGUUCUUUCUUUUCUGGUGACAAGGUCUCACUCUAUAGCCUAGGCUGUUUUUAGACUCAUAGUGACACUGAGGAACCCAGUUUCUUGACUGCUGGGAUUGCAGGUGUGUGACACAGAGCCUGGCUGUCAGGUCUUGUUUCACAUGUUGUAGCCUAUGCAUCCAACCCACUUGUUCAUAGCCUGCCAUCUUCAAGGCAAGGAUUUAUAUAUUUAUAUACAUCAUAGGCUGGCUUUGAACCUGCUAUGAAGCAGAAGAUGACCGUGAAUUUCAGAUUUCCCUGCUUCCACCUCCCAGGUGCUGGGAUUAUAGGCAUACCUGGCUUAUGCAGUGCUAGAAACCAAACUCAGGGCUUUGUGCAGGGCUUUAAGCACUCUACCAACUACCCUAACCCGAAGGAAAUUUUAUUUUGUUUUCUUAUAAUCUUUUGCUUUAAAAUGGUUCCUUCAAACUUUUAUUUUGAAACAUUUCAAAUCUACACAAAAGUCAGAUUAAGAGAACUGUAAACACUAUUUUACUCUGCUCCAAAGUGGGCACAGAUUCUUUUUUUAAAUGUUAGCCUUUUGGGUAACAGGUGCAGACAUGAGAGCUUCCCUGAGAAUGGACCAGGACUCUGCAAAUUCCUUAUGUGAUACUGGAUCCUGGGCUUCCCACUUCAGUGUUCUUGGUAGAGUAUCUGGUAUCUCCUUCCACUUUUAAAUUUUCUGAAAUUUGUUCCUUUUCUAUUGUUUUAGGGUUUCAAAGGAAAGAGCUAGUGGUAGAAGCCACAAAUAAACGUAAGGUGGACAUUUGCAGAAUCUCAGACUAUGUCAUGGAAACCUAAUUAUUCUGUUUGUUCACAAAGGCAACUGGGUCAUAUAUGUCCACUUAAAAGCUGUGGCCUAGCAUGCCACCAACUCUAAAUGGUGGAAACUCCUUCCUUGACCUCUGCAAGAGUUCACCUGGCAAAGCUGAGUCAGAUGCUAGACAGCAAAUUGAUAAAGCCUCUUUAACUGGGCUCUCUCCCGUGGACUUGGCAGAUGAGGCCGUGUUAUAAAUAGAAGUGAUAUUUUGUGGGGUUCUUCUAACCGAAUGCGCAUGAGGUCAAAUUCUAAUCAAGGUGAUGUAUAGAAGUAAUGAGCUGAGCCCGCAUUCCCAAGCAUUUACCCAUCUAGUGGCAAUAAGUGGGCAAAGAUGAAAUGGGGAAGGGGGGGCGUUGCAGAAACUACAGCUAAAUAGUUCCUUGUGUGGAUGGAGGACCUCAUCUCCUUGUAACGAAUGCUUGCCAGUGGUAAUUGGCUUCAUUUGUUAAUUGUAUUCAUGGUAUUAAUGAGAUCAUUAGCAUCACGGUCACAUCCUACUCUCCUGUGGCCUCAGUCUGGGGAAAUCACAACUUCCACACACCUUGCUGCUGUAGAUAUACUCACGCAUCCCAAUUACGUACAGAUUCAAACACCAUCUGUGCUGGCUUCACACAAGGGCACCCUGAAAUUCGUUCUUACCUGUUUUUAGGGGCAUUUUUUUUGAGAAUUUGGUAGAUAACUUUUAAAAGUAAUGUCUUUCAUAGUCAUGGCAAAGAUUCAGAUUUAGCUCCUUAAUCAAUAAGGAGAUCUGUUUCUCUCAAAUUCCAUACACCAGUAAGACACAGCCAUAGACUAAGAAUCUGGAAGGAGAAAGAAAAAGUAUCAAGAAGGAAAUAGAAGAGGUUGGGCUUACAAUACAUUAUCCCUAAACACAGCACCUGGUUCACAGUACAUUACCUCUAAACACCUUGGCAUUGAGAGAACCAUGAGGUGAGGAUGAUCUUUCUAACCUCUGUUGACUCUUUCCUCUGAAGGAGGAGAUACAACCCUAACAUAGAGUGGUCCCUUCUUACACCUUAGAGAAGGAACAUCCUGGUCUCUGAGAACCAGGUAUUGAGAAGAAUCUGAAUAGACAGGCCUUGCUAAACUCCAGCUAGGUUGAAACCACAAGCAUAACUCCUUAUUUCAUCAUGAUUUCUGAGCAUGGUGGUGCAUACCUUUAAUCCUAGCACUCAUGGGCAGAGGCAGGUAGAUCUCUUGGAGUCUAGGCCUGUCUGAUCAAUGUAGUGAGUUCCAGAAUAGCCAGGGUUACAUAGAGGAACCCUGUUUUCAACCAACCAACCAACCAACCAACCAACCAACCAACCAACCAACCGCAUUUUCCCAUGACUGCUCACUUCUUGUCAAACCUAAGAAUAAAAACAUGAAUUUCUUUGGGUUCUCAUUUUUAAAGGCUCCCGUGUUACAUGAAGAAGUAAAUAAGUAUACACGCUCCCCUCUUGUUAUUUAUCUUUUGUCAUAAGAACUUCAGCCAUGAACCUAGUGUUAUGUAAGAAAAAACGUUUCUAUUCCCUCCUUGUGGAAGACAGCACAUGGAAUGCAGGACUUGAAGGGACUGAUCUAGGAUUGAUCUAGAAGCUUCCUCCCAGUGGACCAGCUCUCGUAGUAUCCAAAGAUGCUAUGUGAGUUGCCAGUGGAGAAAAGUCAUCAAUAAAUCUACUCAGCUGCAAAGCUUCUGGACCACAACAGUGACAGUGCAUACCGGUGGGCACUUAUGUUGGGAGUCAUCAACAUUUGUCUAAUUGGACUUCAGGCCCCCUUAGUAGGAGGGAAUUCAUACUUCAUAUUGUAAACAUACCUAUGGUGGGCGGGGUCAUGGACCUAGAGGAGAACCUACUAGGUCAUUUUUCUAAACCAUCUUCAUGCCCACAGUAAGCGUGGCUCUUACCCCCCACCAAAGAAGCUUCUUUUUGUAGCAGAUGGAAACCAAUGGAGAGCGCCACAUGUCAAAAUGUGUAGGAGAACCAACUGUGAGGUGCUCUGACCCCAGCUGAUACAUCUACAAAGCCAGCUCUACAGCUGAGGCUUGGGGAGCAUUGUAGAGAAGGGGGAAGAGAUACUGUAAAAGUCAGAGAACCCAGGACAUCUGACACAAGACAGUAUCUUCUGUAUAUCAUAGGGAAACUGCAGCUCUGACAUCCUAAAAACACGAUCAGCGAAGCAAGAGCUGCCUAAUGACCACAACAGUUGAUAUGCCAAUGAGAUGGGGAUGUCUCUAGGUCCUACCCUUCGAACAACAGGCUUUGUGUGUGUGUGUGCGCGUGCAUGUGUGAUUAGUAAAACAAUAAUUAAAGAAAAUUCAUGAAUUUUGAGAAUGAGAGGGAAGACAUCAGGAGUUAUGGGGGAGAGGAACUCGUGGAAAUAAUGUGGGUAUGGUACACAGGUAGGAAAUCUCAAAAAAAUUGAAAUAAAAAAAUGAAUUUCCACCCUUUCUUCCUUGAACUGUAGAGAGAGACUCAGCAGGUGACAGGGAGAUCGGUUCUUGAAACAGACCUUUAAAGAUAGGGUAUCUGUGGCUUGGAUUCUGGAAGGGGACCGGAUUACGCAUAUCCUUGACCAACUCCUAUACCAGUGUUUGUGAAGGGGACUCUAGGUAUCUGCAUGCUAAUUCCUGACACUAGAAUGAUAGUAUUUGAGAGCCAGCCUUGGGAUGUCACAUGACAAAAGCUACCUUCCAGUGUCCAGUAAUGAUGUGGCACAGUGCAAGUGACCAGCCAAGGAGACCCCCCAGGCUACUGGGGAGCUAAGAGGCCAGCCAGCCACAGGCUCCUGAUGGGGAUGCCCCACCACUUCAAAGGCUAGCUAACCCUUAAGAGCCACCAGUUCAGGGAUGCUUAGUCCACUCUUGGCAGCAGGUGACACUAUAUGGCAUUAAGGACUGUUGGGUCUGAGGUCGAGGAAAUGAUGGGGAUCAUGCAGUACAAGUCUAGCAGGAGCAGGUUGUUUACAACAGAUUUCUAAAGAGAAUCCAUUAGGGGCUUGGGAGCAGGAACCAUGACCCAAAGCAAGGGUCACGCAGGCCUUUUUAAGCAAAACAACAAAAGCAAAACCAGAAGCAGAAAAGGUUGUGGGGGCAGUGGGAGCAGCUUGUCCUUUACUGGCAUUGGCUGUGUCUGUGUCAACAAGGAACCGAUUAGCCCUGGCUAGCUCUUGCGGUUUAUCUAGGAAGGGUGGGGGUGGUGUGGGUCAGGACAAGCUAAGUAAGACAGAGGGCAAAUGGAGGCGUCUAAUACAAAAUGGAGUCAUCUUGAGACGUUCAGUGACCCUUUCUUUUUUUAGGAUGGAGGAGAUGCGUAGGGCAAGAAAUACGGGAAGAGAGGUAGAGCAUCUAUAUCUUCCUCGGGUGUGUUAGUCUCUAGGCGUCUUCCAUGUUCACCAAUCUGGAGUAUCUCCAAACCAUGCCCUCCUUCUUUAGACGGAGGUUUCUUUUGAACGCGCGCAUGCUCACCUCACUGUGUCUUGGUGAUCGGCUCAGUCCUCAGCUGCCUUUCUGCUCUUGGAGGCUGGGACAGAAACCAUUUACCUUAAUCUGACAAUUAGUCUUCAUCCAGCAACUCUACAGCCUACCAAGAAAUGUCUCAUAAGAGCAUAAUCCGUGGCCUAGGAAAUCGCAAGGGAUCUUGGGGGCUCCAUGGCAGAUGCUCUUAUUUCUCGGUAAACUACAGAGAUUGUGGGAGAUUUAUAUAUGUAUAUAUAUAUAAUUUUUUUCUUAUUGAAUUGAAAUGCCACACUUUUUAAAAAAAUUUUUUUUAUUAACUUGAGUAUUUCUUAUUUACAUUUCGAGUGUUAUUCCCUUUCCCGGUUUCCAGGCCAACAUCCCCCUAACCCCUCCCCCUCUCCUGCUUUAUGGGUGUUCCCCUCCCCAUCCUCCCCCCAUUGCUGCCCGAGCCCCCAACAAUCACGUUCACUGGGGGUUCAGUCUUAGCAGGACCAGUAAGGCUUCCCCUUACACUGAAAUGCCACUCUUUUUUUAUUGUGAUUUUUUUUCCCUCUUGGCUAACUUGAACUGGUUGGAAUCUAUUUUUCCUCAUCUCUUUUCAAUUGCAUCGCUUCCACUGUAAUAAACUCCCCUGGGUAGUCAAUAUUUCAUUUUUAAUAAGGUCUUAAAUUAGGGGCCAGUGACAUGGUUUAGCAGGUAAAGGCAGUUGGCUCAAAGACCAGGUUUUGAAGCCUGUAACCCAUAUGGGAAGGAGACCUGACUUCCGAAAACUGUCUUCUAACCUCCGCAUGAGUGCCAUAGCAUAUAAGCACACUUCCGUGAACACGUGCGCUUGCACACACACACUGUCAUAACAAGUUUUAGAUUAAUGUUAUUUAUGAAAGACAAAUCAUGAAGCUUCAAAACCAUUUUAUGAAAUAAAGGUUUCUUUGCCAAAACAUUUGAAAAAAAAAUGCUGUCAAGCUGAAAGUCAUUUUUUUCCAGUUCCUAUAUUUGCAUUUAGCAGUUUAACAGUUCUUAAAUGUCAGUGGCUUCUAUUGAGAUCCAUAAAAUCUCAAAGUCAGUUGGUCCUCACUGGCUGACCCUUGAGGCUGUCGCAUAGGUGGCUGUUUGCUGUUUAGGCUUGGGACACUUUCUCCAUUCCUCUUGAUUAAACACAUAGAAGACAGUAGUCACGCAAGGCCCUGGGUUCGGUCCCCAGCUCCGAAAAAAAGAACCAAAAAAAAAAAAAAAAAAAGAAGACAGUAGUCAUCUUGCAGCGAUGCCUGAACAUCUUCAAAGCCAGUAGAGGAUCGUCUUCGAUUCUGCCUGGUUUUGAUAUCAUGUUUUAAUGCUACUGUCUCUUUAAGAGUUAAAGUAUUUUUUUGUAUGUGUGUGGAUGUUUUGCCUGCAUGUGUGCACCAUGCAUGUAUGCACCAUGGACUUGCUGCACAGGCAGAGUUGGAUUGCCUGGAAUGGAGUUGUAGACGUCAUGAGCUGUCAUGUGGGUACUGGGAAUUGAAUCUGGGUCCUUUGAAAGAGUAGUUUGUGUUCUCAACCACUGAGCCAUCUCCCUCCCAUCUCUCUUAUAAACAUCAUUUUGGGCUUAUUUGGAAAAUCAGGAUAACCUUGUCAUCUCAAGAUCUUUAAUUGCAUCUGUGGAGAUCAUUUUGCUGUGUAAGGUAACAAUUUUCAGAUUCUAAUGACUACAGAACAGCUGUCUUUGGAGCUCUCUAGCCCAUCAUGGUGGGACGUUUGGCUGAUAGGUGAGAAGAAACAUGUAAAAGCUAUGGGGGUCAAGAAGUCAUAGCCUAAAAAGAUGAAUAUCCAUGGAGUCUCAUCCCUUAGUAUUUCAUGCUAAGACCUAGAGAUCUCAGGUGGU